AACGAACGCUGGCGGCAGGCUUAACACAUGCAAGUCGAACGGGUGUAGCAAUACAUCAGUGGCAGACGGGUGAGUAACACGUGGGAACCUUCCUAGGGGUACGGAACAACUCAGGGAAACUUGAGCUAAUACCGUAUACGUCCGUGAGGAGAAAGAUUUAUCGCCCUUAGACGGGCCCGCGUCGGAUUAGGUAGUUGGUGGGGUAACGGCCUACCAGGCCUACGAUCCGUAGCUGAUCUUAGAGGACGAUCAGCCACACUGGGACUGAGACACGGCCCAGACUCCUACGGGAGGCAGCAGUGGGGAAUCUUGGACAAUGGGCGCAAGCCUGAUCCAGCCAUGCCGCGUGAGUGAAGAAGGCCUUAGGGUUGUAAAGCUCUUUUACCAGGGACGAUAAUGACGGUACCUGGAGAAUAAGCCCCGGCAAACUUCGUGCCAGCAGCCGCGGUAACAC
rnacentral:rRNA from 1 species